rnacentral:rRNA from 1 species
CUAACACAUGCAAGUCGAGCGCACCUUCGGGUGAGCGGCGGACGGUUUAGUAACGCGUGGGAACAUACCCUUUUCUACGGAAUAGCCUCGGGAAACUGAGAGUAAUACCGUAUAAGCCCUUCGGGGGAAAGAUUUAUCGGGAAAGGAUUGGCCCGCGUUAGAUUAGAUAGUUGGUGGGGUAAUGGCCUACCAAGUCUACGAUCUAUAGCUGGUUUUAGAGGAUGAUCAGCAACACUGGGACUGAGACACGGCCCAGACUCCUACGGGAGGCAGCAGUGGGGAAUCUUAGACAAUGGGCGCAAGCCUGAUCUAGCCAUGCCGCGUGUGUGAUGAAGGUCUUAGGAUCGUAAAGCACUUUCGCCAGGGAUGAUAAUGACAGUACCUGGUAAAGAAACCCCGGCUAACUCCGUGCCAGCAGCCGCGGUAAUACGGAGGGGGUUAGCGUUGUUCGGAAUUACUGGGCGUAAAGCGUACGUAGGCGGAUUGGAAAGUUGUGGGUGAAAUCCCAGGGCUCAACCCUGGAACUGCCUCCAAAACUAUCAGUCUAGAGUUCGAGAGAGGUGAGUGGAAUUCCAAGUGUAGAGGGAAAUUCGUAGAUAUUUGGAGGAACACCAGUGGCGAAGGCGGCUCACUGGCUCGAUACUGACGCUGAGGUACGAAAGUGCGGCAGCAAACAGGAUUAGAUCC